rnacentral:tRNA from 1 species
GAGAGUAUAGCUCAGUGGUAGAGUAUGUGCUUAGCACGCACGAGGUCCUAGGUUCAACCCCCAGCACCUCCA